GACGUAGGUGGCGAACGUUAUCCGGAAUCAUUGGGCGUAAAGGGCGCGUAGGUGGCGGGACAAGCGUGCGGUGAAAGCCUGGGGCUCAACCCCGGGUCGGCCGUGCGAACUGUUUUGCUUGAGCACUGUAGAGGCAGGCGGAAUUCCGGGUGUAGCGGUGGAAUGCGUAGAGAUCCGGAAGAACACCGGUGGCGAAGGCGGCCUGCUGGGCAGUAGCUGACACUGAGGCGCGACAGCGUGGGGGAGCAAACAGG
rnacentral:rRNA from 1 species